rnacentral:rRNA from 1 species
UGGUGGAGUGAUUUGUCUGCUUAAUUGCGUUAACGAACGAGACCUCAGCCUGCUAAAUAGUUAUGCGAACCUUCUGCUUUGGGUGAAGCGCGCGGGGCAGUCGCUACCUUCGGGUGGCGGCACCCCGAACGUGGAUCCUUGAUGCGUUCGUAGCAAUACUUCUUAGAGGGACAAUUGGUAUCAAGCCAAUGGAAGUUUGAGGCAACAACA